AUGCAUGUUGUGCUGCAGUAUUUGUAAUUAUACCUAUGAAAUGGAACUUUACCAGCCAAUGAUGCGUUACAACAGGAGCAAUUUAUAUCAGUUGCUAGUCCACUUUUGGGUUGUUCCAUGUUAGCAACAGUGGCUGUGCCACUGCCUUGGGCAUUUUGAGCUGCAGCCAUUCUCCUCUCUGCAGCAGCAGCUCUCUUUUCCCUUUCAGCUGCCUGUGCUCUCUUCAAUUCCUCCUCUUUAGAUAGUUGUGAUCCUCCAAUAGUCAGCGGUCCCUUGAUAGCUGAACGUGGCCUCACUUGAUUCUCCACAGCUGCCAUAGAGUUCUGGGAUGUGGCAGCCUGAGCCUUUUCUUUUGCUUUUCGCAGUUUCUUCAAUUCUUUUGCUCUUGCUUUCCUCUUGGCAUCUUUCUCUGCCUGCUUCUCAGCUUGAGAUUCUUCCAUUUCCUUUGUCAAUGCACUAGGUACUUUAGCAGCAUGCCAAUCCCACCUAUAAAGAUUUGAGGCCAUAAAGCGCCUGAAAUUGUUCCUGACUUCCUUCUCAGUUGCCAGCAUAUAGGGGGUCCGCCCCCUUUCAUCCUUAACACAAGGAUCUAAACCCUGUUCUAGGAGUUCCAAGACUUUAUUAGCAUCACCAGCGUGUGCCGCUUUGUGCAAAGGUGUUGUUACACCAAUCACCGCACUUUCUGUUUCAGUUGAUAUAAACAGAUCAUCAGAGUCUUUGAGCCUUGAAGAAGCUUCAGUAGUUUCUCCACAAUUAGUGCAGUCCUUCAAAUCCUCUUUUCUGGAAUCCAGGCUGCCAUCAGGAGUGGAGGUUUCAAUUGAUACAAAAUCCUCUUUGGCGACUGAUGGAAAGUCCUUCUCAUCCACUUCAUAGGCAACUUGUGUCAAUUGGUUAUAUAUGCGCCGUGCUUCUUUGAAAGUGGGCCUUCGAACAUUCAAUGGUACAUUUCGAAUAAAACAAUGCUGAUCACUAAAAUAUGCUUUAUCUCCAUCAAAGAAGAGGUGGCGAUUGCUUGAGGGAGCAUAUAUGAAAACACAGGUGGAAGCAUCAAAAUAAGGCUUCCAAGAAGAAAGUAGUUCUUGAACAUCCUUCUUUAAAGCAAGUUCAUUAUGCCGUCGAAGUGAAGCUCCAGCAGAAUGUGCAGCCCUGCCACUUGCAUCUUUUGAUGACUGCUUCUUACCAGCUUUGGCCCUUACAACAUAUCUGUGGAAUGUUUUGUGAACCACAACUGCAUUACCAUCAAAGACACAGCCAGCGAAGUGUCCCCCACUUGCAAGCAAUAAAAUCCUCAAACACGUCUUAUCCCUGGGCUCAUGAAUCAGAAAAUUCAAUCUUUCAAUCACUUCACUCUCUUUAAGGCAUCGCAUAUACCCACCACAGUCAAAAGAAACUUCUUUCUCGUUCUCAUAAGAAACGCUUUCAAACUCAUUCAAAACCAUACACUUCCAAAGUGAAACUCUCUCUCCUGUAUGAAGACGCAUAAACAGCUUCCGCUUGGUACUUUCAUUUGAUCCCUUUUGCAUAUCAUCAAGAGGGAAGGAUCCUUUCUCAUUUUCAUCUUCUGAUCCUGAUAUACUUGAUAUAUCAUAACCUCUGAAAGAAUCAGAUGUUAAGUCAUCUAAAUCUUCCUCGUUCACAAUAUCCUUCCCUGCAAUGCUUAGCUUAACGUUA
rnacentral:misc_RNA from 1 species